AUGCAGGCUCAUAGGCUCCACUCUUGGAACCACUGAAUCAGAAUCUGCCUUUCAACCCAGUCCCUGGUCAUUCUUAGCACUUCUCAGUUAGACAUUGAUCUAUAAAAUCACAUUAUCUCCAAAAGUAGUCAACCAAAAAUGCACAUUGGCAAAUGAAAAGGAAGUUGGGGAUCAUAGGACCAUGUGGCCAUAUAAAUAUAUGACAUCAUACUCAUGUGUAGGCGCACAUGGCUCUCGGGUAUAUUUUAGGUAGAGAUUACUAACUCCAUUCCCUGGCUAUGGUCGUGUCAUUGGUGAGAGUCGUUGACAAAAGUCUAAAAAAGAAACAGUAGGAGAAAGGCUAACCUGCCUCCACUUCCACCCCCGGCCUGUCCAUCUGAGUCACGCAUGUUCUUGGACUUCAGAGCCAAGCAGAGUUUAGAGGAGGUGCAGGUGUGACGGCCGCCCCCCACACCCGGGACCCGCUUACCUCAGUGCUGCCUGCGUCUAUUUCUGGACAGAAAAAAAGAAAAGUCCUGAUCCCACGGAGGCUGCAGUGUGACUGCGGUGAUUGCCUGCCGAAGGGCAGCCGCUCAUCAGGAGGUCUGGAGCGGGAGCUAAUAAUGAUUUUUGGAAAAUGCCCCCGCCUGUCCUAAGAAAUAAAGCUUCUGGUGCAACCAACAUUGAAUCCUAUCCUUUUUAUCAACGGAGACCACAGCCGUGAACUUGUGUUCUGAAAUAUGAAUUUCAUGAAGCGCUUGGGAGCAAGUGCACUUCUCGGCAUCGUGAUAGAGAUCUCCUAUAAAGAGAACCAGCUGAGGUCGCACCAGUGUUUUCAAAUCAUCUUUAUUAGGAUUUUUCAUUUAAUCCAAAGGCAAUGCUAUCACCUUUGCCAGCAGUUUGCUUGCUUUUCAUGGCGGAGUUGGAGGAGAGGAAAGAUAAGAGAAUUCUCUAAAGGAAUGAAGAAAACAGACACAUGUACGCCUGAAGUAAAUGGACAUUUACCUAUGAGUCACUAGCGAAAAAUCCAGUGCUUCACAAGGAAUUGUUUAUUCCAUAAACUUAAAAUGGAAAACUUUUGCCCAGGAUAAAUAAAUGAUUCUCUUCACCAUGUUUUUUUUUUAACAUUUAACAAUUCCAAGUUAAUAACUCAAUCGACUGUAACUGUAGCUGAUGGCACAGAUUUUUCCCUAACUCUUUGAGGAAAUGGGCACAGCCAGUGCUCAACACACACUAUCCAGUUUAUUAAUAUAUCUGAACUCAUACCAGUACAGUAAUGUAUUUUAGAUUGUUCUCUCCUUUCUUAAUUAAAUAUACUCUCUAUUUCUACCUUUCUGCUCCCAAUCUCACUUCUGCUCACUCUAUUACUGACUCUGACACUAAUUAAGAUUCUGCACCCCGUUCAAGUGUCCGGGAAGCAGGGUUCCCACACAACCACGGGAUUCUCAGACACCGCCUGAGUAUCCCGCAAUCCAACUCAGUUCUGACAUGAUCUGCCAAGAGGUGAGGACCCGUCCUACAGGUCUGGCUCCGUCCUACAAGACUGCCCGCCGGAGUCUGCUCACAAGCCCAGGUUGUCACCUGUGCUUCUGACCUGGCUAUGCAUGUUCCCACAGCUCUCCUUCAGGUCCAAUUAAUUUGCUAGAGCAGCUUGCAGAACUCAGAUGAACAUUUGCUUACUAGAUUAUGGUUUUUAUAGAGAUAUAACUGGGAACAAUCAGAUGGAAGAUUAGUGGCAAGAUACGGGGGAAAGAAC